AGAGUUUGAUCAUGGCUCAGAACGAACGCUGGCGGCGUGGAUAAGACAUGCAAGUCGAACGCUGAUUUCAGGGUAGCAAUAUUCUGGAGUUGGAGUGGCGCAAGGGUGCGUAACACGUGGGUAAUUUGCCGUGAAGCCCGGAAUAACUCGCUGAAAGGCGAGCUAAUACCGGAUGUGAUUUUUGGAGGGCAUCCUCUGGAACUCAAAGCUGGGGACCGUAAGGCCUGGCACUUCUCGAUAAGCCCGCGGCCUAUCAGCUAGUUGGUGAGGUAAUGGCUCACCAAGGCUAAGACGGGUAGCUGGUCUGAGAGGACGACCAGCCACACUGGAACUGAGACACGGUCCAGACACCUACGGGUGGCAGCAGUCGAGAAUUUUUCACAAUGGGCGAAAGCCUGAUGGAGCGACGCCGCGUGGGGGAUGAAUGGCUUCGGCCCGUAAACCCCUGUCAUUUGCGAACAAACCUUGUCAUUUAAAAGAUGACGAGCUGAUAGUAGCGAAAGAGGAAGGGACGGCUACUCUGUGCCAGCAGCCGCGGUA
rnacentral:rRNA from 1 species